AGAGGAGCAGGAGCAGUGAGAGGAGCAGGAGCAGUGAGAGGAGCAGUGAGAGGAGCAGUGAGAGGAGCAGUGAGAGAUGCAGUGAGAGGAGCAGUGAGAGGAGCAGGAGCAGUGAGAGGAGCAGUGAGAGGAGCAGUGAGAGAUGCAGUGAGAGGAGCAGUGAGAGGAGCAGGAGCAGUGAGAGGAGCAGUGAGAGGAGCAGUGAGAGAUGCAGUGAGAGGAGCAGUGAGAGGAGCAGGAGCAGUGAGAGGAGCAGUGAGAGGAGCAGUGAGAGAUGCAGUGAGAGGAGCAGUGAGAGGAGCAGGAGCAGUG